AGUGGCACACUGUACUCAAAAUAGCCUCAGAAAAUAGGAUAGUUAUGGAGAUUUUGCAGCAAUCUCCCUCAAACUGGUACCCACUACAUGUCUUAAGACUACAACUCCCGUCAACCCGAGCAAGGCAUGGCUGAUUCACAGGCACAAAGUUUUUCACAGGGAGGUGCUCCUCCGCAACCACAGCCAGGAGCAUUAAAGUUAUCCCAGUGCU